AAUAUCACUGUGGAAGGUAAAUGGUUGAUUUCUUCAAGAUAUAUAAGUGUAGUAACUUUGGCAAUACAUACUGAAUUUAAAGCUUACUAAUGUUUGUGGAUGAACAAAUAUUCUCUGUUGUGGAAGUUUUAAACAAUAAUUUGGCUCUUAUUAUUUUCCAAUGUAUGUUAACAAUCUCAGCAUCACAUGAAGUGCAGAACAGCAGCAGUUCUUCUGGGACGUGGUCCAUCAUUGUGAUUGUUAUCGCCGUAUUCAUCAUUGUGCCUGGAGUUUUCCAUAGACGUAUCCUGAGAGAAACACGCUGCAGAAACGAUACACGGUCUAGAGCAUCUGGGCAAUCUGUCUGUGAAACCCCCGACUCUCUGGACACAGAUGACCCAGAAAACCCCUACGCAAGCCUUGAACAGCCAGGAAGUGAUUUAUACCAGAAUAUCUCAUCAGUGCACCAUCAACAGCACAGCAAGCUAAAGUCAUCCAGAAAGAAAACAGCGACCAGUUUUGAUCAGGAAAUAGAUAACGAGACUGAUCAAAAUUACGAAAUCUAUGAAAACCUUUGAAUCAAACAUCAAGAUAACAUGACUGCAUAUAUUGAUUACUGGUCUGCAUGGCUGCUAUUUUAGGGUGUUAAGUUACCUUUUCAUUUUUUAAACUUAUACUUUGUCACAAAUACAGACUCUUCAUACUUAAACAAUACUGUACUGUAAAUGCUUCCUUCUGAAAAAAUGCACACAUGCAAAAUAGGUUUCCUGUAUGGCUGAAAAACUUGCUGAUACUCAACAUUAAAGAGAUACUGAACGCUUGAAUAUGUUAAUUGAACUAAAUUAUAUGACUGUACCAAUGACUUCUUACCAAAUGCAUGAACACUGCAUUUCAUGCGUUGAAAAUGACAUGCUUUUGACAGCUGCACUGAAUAUAUGCAGAGUUGGCCUUUCAGAGCUGCUACCUUAGCUACAACACAGGUACCACAGAAACUUUUAUAAAUGGCCAUGAGUCAUGACUGUGCAUGACUGUAAAACCUCCAGCUGGUGUCUGCACUGAAAACAGUAAUUUACGGUAAUUUAAGCUACUACUAGGAUUUGUGUCCUUUAAAUUCUGUGGAAAAUUGAGAUAGAGGUUUGCUUUCACCAAAAUAAAAAUCUAUAUUAAUGUCACAUCUUCCCCCAAAAUAGACCAAUUCUCAGUUAUUGAACGUCCACUUUAGUUUGGGA